UAGGGGGUACUAUAAUGGAAGUAGGAAGAAUUUUGGUUUCUUUUGUGUGGGUUCAAUCCCUGCCCUCCUAG
rnacentral:tRNA from 1 species